rnacentral:pre_miRNA from 1 species
UUUAAUUUUUAACUCUUCGUCUUAUUUAAUUUUUUUUUGCGAUUGAUUUUUUUAUUAGAUGAUAAAUCAUGAAUAGUACUUUACGUGUGACUAAUUUUUUUCUAAUUUUCUAAAAUUUUUUCAAAUAAGGCGAAUGGUCAAAUGUUGGACACGGAAACC